rnacentral:rRNA from 1 species
UCGCCUCUUGAAUUAAAAAUAAGAGGUCCAGCCUGCCCAGUGACCAAUGUUCAACGGCCGCGGUAUCCUAACCGUGCGAAGGUAGCGUAAUCACUUGUUCUUUAAAUGUGGACUAGUAUGAACGGCAUCACGAGGGUUAUACUGUCUCCUUUCUCUAAUCAGUGAAACUAAUCUCCCCGUGAAGAAGCGGGGAUAAAACUAUAAGACGAGAAGACCCUAUGGAGCUUUAAAGUUCUUUUCAAACGCCAAACCUCUUCCAAGUCACAGACUCCUGCACGAAACCACGCGCCAUGAAGACAACUUUUAGGUUGGGGUGACCAUGGAGUAUAAAACAACCUCCACGCUGAACAGGCCUCUAAACCUUGAGCCAAGGACCACAGCCCGCCGCACUAAAAAAUUAACACACAUUGAUCCAAUGAAUUUUGAUCAACGAACCAA